UACGUAGGGUGCGAGCGUUGUCCGGAAUUAUUGGGCGUAAAGAGCUUGUAGGCGGUUUGUCGCGUCUGCUGUGAAAAUCCGGGGCUCAACCCCGGACUUGCAGUGGGUACGGGCAAACUAGAGUGUUGCAGGGGAGACUGGAAUUCCUGGUGUAGCGGUGAAAUGCGCAGAUAUCAGGAGGAACACCGGUGGCGAAGGCGGGUCUCUGGGCAACAACUGACGCUGAGGAGCGAAAGCGUGGGGAGCGAACAGG
rnacentral:rRNA from 1 species